UGUUUAUUAGUUCUUCUUCCGAUUCGAUUUCAGAUUCUAUUUCCUUCAGAUACCAAUUAAUAAGUUCGCUUUUCUUUAAUGACGAGUCAUCCUCUUCUGCAAAUAAAAGUUAUACUUAAAAAAAAUCUCAUUACAAUGCCGUUCCACAUAAUUAGAAUAAGUGUUACUACAGUAUGAUACCUCUCAAAUCAUAAAAGAAAAGGAUUUCUGUGUUAACAGUUAUAAUGCUGAAAAGAUAAUCACACAACAGCCUGUCAGGCUCCCUUGCUGUUCUUGAAAUAUGUUUUGUACAGAAGACUGGUGUAUCAUGGUUUAAUUUGAGACAGAUUGAGAAUUUCAUCCUUCAGCUGUAUGCAUCCAUGAGGUUCACAAAUUACACGAGCAGCCUAGCAAACACAUCGGACUGAAGCUUCAAGAACAAGCAGCAACGAGGACUUGUAGCACCUUUUUCUGAGUAAGGACGAAAGAUCACCAUCACACAAAGAUUAAGAAUUCAUCCUUCCCUUGUAAAUGUCAGCAAAGAGACAACUCACACGUGGUGAUGCUACUCAGUCUGCCAACUUUUUAAUAAUUCUUACCUUCCUCUGCUUUUCUGAGGUGCAACACAAGAAGAUUAGAAAUUCGUCGGUACUCAGAGAAGCCCAGCCUAAGAGAAGCUUUGGGUGCUGCAUCCUUGUUCACGUCCUCAGAAUGGCCACCUAUCCCAUUCACAAGACCAUUGACCCCAGCUGGAGCUUCUGCUUCCCCUGUUUGGACACACGAUCAACUCUGUAAUGCCUUUCAGCUGGCUCAUCUGAGCCACUAAAUAGUGCUGCACUCACCAGUCAGGCAAGGGGAGCACACAAGAAGGCUAAAGUAAGAGAGUUAAGGAGCUAAGAUUCCUAGACCUUGUGAGAAGAAAAACAGGUGGGAAAUUGAAGAGAAGCAUACACACAAACAAGACUCACCCGUGGGUUUGUUGGUGCAACGUAACAGGCUAAAAAGACCAGUUUGUAGGACAGCUCCCUGACUCCAAGGGCACGAAGUCCCCGGACUCCUUCAGCUUCAUAGCCCUCCGUCCCACUAACCCGUGAGCCAGUUUCUGCACGAACCCCUGCCAAGAGAAUACAAGUCAGAACAGCUGCAACCAGAACAAGCUGCAUGGCAUCGAGGUGAUGAGCAGUCGCAACAAACCUGGCGUUGACAGCUGAGCCACAUCAGGCACAACAAUCAGUGAUCCUGUGAAGUCACAUUUGUCACCUGCUUGAGCAGAUUCCACUGCUUCUGCACGCAGGAUCACUUCCAUGCUUCGAGGAAUGCUGCCCCGGGGCAGCUCGGCCUGUGUCUCUUGAAUGCGAACCUGAGGAGGUACAGAGCAUUAAGCACUCAGAUGUCACCAGAUCUGGAAAUGCUUUGAAAGCUAAGCUGCUAACAAAUGCAGUAGGAAGCAUUUGCUUGCAACCAUCUGAUUCAAUCAGGUGUCUUGGGAAGCUUAAGAGGAUUCACAGGGACCACAGUGCCAAAUCUGAAGUCAAGGAAAAGCACUAAGGCCACUCAGAUUCUACUCAGUGCAACGCUUUAUCGUGAGAUGCAAUGUGCUGAGGAUCCUGCAGAGUAAAUCCACGUGAAAGAGUGAAACACCGCAGAUACAAACAAGACACUUCUUUUCAGACUUGCAUGAAAUAAUUAUGCAUGACAUAUCUGUGACAGCAGACUGACAAAGGCUUGAAUACGUGGGUUUUCAGUGGCUUGCUUACCUAAUAAAUGUCCUGCAAUAAAACCGUUUAGAUUCUA